AGUAAUAUAUCGGAACGUGCCCAGUCGUGGGGGAUAACGUAGAGAAAUUUACGCUAAUACCGCAUACGAUCUAAGGAUGAAAGCGGGGGACCUUCGGGCCUCGCGCGAUUGGAGCGGCUGAUAUCAGAUUAGGUUGUUGGUGAGGUAAAAGCUCACCAAGCCGACGAUCUGUAGCUGGUUUGAGAGAACGACCAGCCACACUGGGACUGAGACACGGCCCAG
rnacentral:rRNA from 1 species